rnacentral:lncRNA from 1 species
AGUGCCUAGCACAGUGCAUAGUGUGUCAUAAACUUAGUAGGAGUUAGUUCUUUUUAUUUUGUAAGUCUGCUGCUUGUAUAUCUCAUUAUCUGUCAUAGCAUAUAUUAUGUCCAACCUAUAAUUUAAUCACAGAAAAAUUUAAAUGAUCUAAAUUUAAUACCUCCAGAUUCACAAAGUAAGUAAGAUAAUUAUCUCUAGUACUUCAUAAACAUUUCUUGGUUAGCACUGAUGCACACUAUUCCAGAAAGUCUGCGCAUUCUGAUGUUCUUGAAUUUAAUUCACCAGAAAUAUUCUU